GACGAACGUUGGCGGCGUGCUUAAUACAUGCAAGUCAACUGAAGCAGUGGUAGCAAUAUCGCUGUGGAGGUGGCGCACGGGUGAGUAACACGUAGGUAAUCUGCCUUCAGGUCUGGCAUAACUCCGGGAAACCGGGGCUAAUAGCAGAUGAUGCAGCGGCUCGACAUCGAGACAGUUGUUAAAGCUAUGGCGCCUGAAGAUGAGCCUGCGUCUGAUUAGCUAGUUGGCGGGGUAACGGCCCACCAAGGCAACGAUCAGUAGCUGGUCUGAGAGGAUGAUCAGCCACACUGGAACUGAGACACGGGCCAGACUCCUACGGGAGGCAGCAGUAAGGAAUAUUGCGCAAUGGGAGAAAUCCUGAAGCAGCAACGCCGCGUGAGGGACGAAGGGCUUUUGCUUGUAAACCUCUGUAGUGAGAGAAAAAAAUCCCAAUCUUUGGGACAUGAUGGUAGCUCAAAAGUAAGCCCCGGCUAACUACGUG
rnacentral:rRNA from 1 species